rnacentral:rRNA from 1 species
UACGAAGGGGGCAAGCGUUUGUUCGGAAUUACUGGGCGUAAAGGGCGCGUAGGCGGCUUAUCAAGUCAGGCGUGAAAUUCCCGGGCUCAACCUGGGGGCUGCGCUUGAUACUGAUGAGCUUGAAUGCGGGAGAGGAUAGUGGAAUUCCCAGUGUAGAGGUGAAAUUCGUAGAUAUUGGGAAGAACACCGGUGGCGAAGGCGGCUAUCUGGCCCGUAAUUGACGCUGAGGCGCGAAAGCGUGGGGAGCAAACAGG